rnacentral:rRNA from 1 species
GUGCAGCCGCCGCGGUAAUACGGAGGAUCCAAGCGUUAUCCGGAAUCAUUGGGUUUAAAGGGUCCGUAGGCGGUCUGAUAAGUCAGAGGUGAAAUCCUGCAGCUCAACUGUAGCAUUGCCUUUGAUACUGUUAGACUUGAGUUAUUGUGAAGUAGUUAGAAUGUGUAGUGUAGCGGUGAAAUGCAUAGAUAUUACACAGAAUACCGAUUGCGUAGGCAGAUUACUAACAAUAUACUGACGCUAAGGGACGAAAGCGUGGGUAGCGAACAGGAUUAGAUA